UACGGAGGAUCCAAGCGUUAUCCGGAAUCAUUGGGCUUAAAGGGUCCGUAGGCGGUUUAAUAAGUCAGUGGUGAAAGCCCAUCGCUCAACGGUGGAACGGCCAUUGAUACUGUUAAACUUGAAUUAUUAGGAAGUAACUAGAAUAUGUAGUGUAGCGGUGAAAUGCUUAGAGAUUACAUGGAAUACCAAUUGCGAAGGCAGGUUACUAGAAGUUGAUUGACGCUGAUGGACGAAAGCGUGGGGAGCGAACAGG
rnacentral:rRNA from 1 species